ensembl:snRNA U6 U6 spliceosomal RNA
GUGCUCACUUUGGCAGCAUACAUACUAAAAAUAGAGCCAUACAGAGAAGAUUAGCAUGGCCCUGUGCAAGGAUGACAUGCAAAUUCAUGAAGCAUUCCAUAUUAAA